AACGUAGGUGGCGAGCGUUAUCCGGAUUUACUGGGCGUAAAGCGUGUGCAGGUGGCCUGUUAAGUGGUGUAUGAAAUCGCCCGGCUCAACCGGGCGGGGUUAUGCCAGACUGGCAGGCUAGAGGGUGGGAGAGGGAUGUGGAAUUCCGGGUGGUAGUGGUGAAAUGCGUAGAGAUCCGGAGGAACCCCAGAGGCGAAGGCGGCAUCCUGGCCCACGACUGACACUCAGACACGACAGCAUGGGGAGCGAACGGG
rnacentral:rRNA from 1 species